GCAUUAAUGGGGUAGUGGUAACCUGGGUCGUUGCCAUAUCGUGAUAGUAUGAGCGUUAUCUACUAUCGACCCGCCGGGGGUUCGAUUCCCUCUUAAUGCA